ACAGAAAGCCAGUGGUAAUGAUAUUUGGCAGUCUUGACUUAAGGUACAUGGCCUAUAGAUUGCAAGCCUGCAUAGGACAAAGGCUAAGCAGCUAGCAGGAUACUGCUCUGUUUCAGCUGUUAUGGUCAGUCUAGCUGUCUGGAUCAGGUACUGCUCUGUUUCAGCUGGUAUGGUCAGUCUAGCUGUCUGGAUCAGGUACUGCUCUGUUUCAGCUGGUAUGGUCAGUCUAGCUGUCUGGAGAAGGUACUGCUCUGUUUCAGCUGGUAUGGUCAGUCUAGCUGUCUGGAGAAGGUACUGCUCUGUUUCAGCUGGUAUGGUCAGUCUAGCUGUCUGGAUCAGGUACUGCUCUGUUUCAGCUGGUAUGGUCAGUCUAGCUGUCUGGAGAAGGUACUGCUCUGUUUCAGAUGUUAUGGUCAGUCUAGCUGUCUGGAGAAGGUACUGCUCUGUUUCAGCUGUUAAGGUCAGUCUAGCUGUCUGGAGAAGGUACUGCUCUGUUUCAGCUGUUAUGGUCAGUCUAGCUGUCUGGAGAAGGUAC